ensembl:lncRNA
UUUUUUCUUUUAGAGACAGGGUCUGGUUAUGUUGCCCAGGCUGCAGUAGAGCAGUACAAUUAUAGCUCACUGCAGCCUCAAACUCCUGGGUUCAACUGAGCCUUCUGCCUCAGCUUCCCAAGUAGCUGACACUGUAGUCAUGCACCACCACACCUGGCUUUUUUUUUUUUUUUUUUUUUUUUUUGUAGAGACAAGGUCUUGCUAAGUUGCUCAGCCUGGUCUUAAACUCCUGGCUUCAAGUGAUCCUCCCAUCUUGGCCUCCAAAAAUGCCGGGAUUUAUAGGGCCAAGCCAUCACAUUCAGCCCAUUCUUCCUUCUUAAUUGUGCUGUGUACUUUUCAUUUGUCCUUCUAUAUACUCCCUGACCAACCCUCGCACCCUGCUCUAAGCCUUGGAGAAGAGGGGAUUUUCAUUUUCAAAUGAAAGCUAGGAAGAGCCUGGAUUUCAAAUGGCCUGGGACAUUGAUUCACUGACUUACUUUGGCCAGUGAAUCUUUACUGGCUUCCUUGCCCUUGACUUCUAGUUGGGUGCAGCCAAAGCGAGGCACCAGCAGGAGCAAGAAGGAAGGGAGGGCACUAAGAAUGAGCUGUCUAUUCAUCUAUACUAACACACACAGCUCCUGCCACACAGCUCAAUGCAGUAACCACAUCACCGCAUGUCUCUUCUAACUAGAGGUGUGUAUUAGUCAGUUUUUAUGCCAUACAAAACCAUCUCAAAAUCUGAAUGGCUGCAAGAACAAACAUUCGUAAUUUUCUGCAAGGAUGUGAGCUUAGGCUUUCUUGAGCUCAGCUAAACUUUGUCCAGGCUGCCAGCUGAUUUCAUGAGUCCACUCUUUCUAAGGAGGAUGUUCUUGUCAUGGCAAAUGACAGAAGCACAAUGGGGCAAUCAUGACAUGCUAGCCCAUAUCCAGCAUCUGCUCUUAUCAUAUCCUACAUCAUCUUCUGUUGAGCUAAGCAAAUCCCAUGGCCAACCCCUAAUCCAAAAGGAAGGGGAGGGAUACUCCACCUAGUCUUUUGGGAAGCACUCUGAGGUCACAUGGUUCAGAAAAACAAGCCUUAGAACAAUCAUUACAUCUAUCUCAAGGGGCUAACAGCUCCCCAUGGUUGCUAUCCCUGGAAUACAGCACUAUUGCAAGCUGUCUUUUCUACAACCUGCCUAUCCCUAUAAAUAAUUCAUGUAUGUGACUGGGCAUGGUGGCUCAUGCCUGUAAUCCCGGCACUUUUGGAGGCCAAGGUAGGUGGAUCAUCUGAGGUCAGGACUUCGACACCAGCCUGACCAGCAUGGUGAAACCCCAUGUCUACUAAAAAUACAAAAAUUAGUUGGAUGUGGUGGUGUGCACCUGUAGUCCCAGCUACUCAGGAGGCUGAGACAGAAGAAUUGCUUGAAACUGGCAGGCAGAGGUUGCAGUGAGCUGAGAUCACACCACUGCACUCCAGACUGGGUGACAGAGCAAGACUCCAUCUCAAAAAAUCAAUAAAUCAUGUAUGCAUUAUUUUUAUUUAAUGUUGUAUUAUUUUAACAUAUUGGUGGUGGUGGUGGUGUUAGUAUAUUUUACUAAGCAUGCUUCAAUCCUCCAGUUUGAGGUUGGCAGAUAUUUUUGCUAGUACCGUGAAGAACACGGGGUUCCAUCAGGAAUUCAACCCACAUUGACCGAACACUGCCUCUGUGCCCAGCUUGAGGUGGAUUAGAAGCUGCUUAACAAAAAUAACAACUGUCUUUGCUGAGCUCAUACUGUCCUCUGUGCACUACGCUAGAAGCUUCAGUUAACCACUCUGGGCUGGGUCUUAUAAAUUAUUGCAAUAUAAGGAAACUGAAACUCAGAGUCCUAAAGCAACUUGCCUAACAUCAAUCAGCUGGGAGAAAAAAGAGGCAGAUCUGAAACAGGGCGCUCCUGAUUCUACAGCUCUUUCCUCUUGCCCUUGACAGCCUCCCAUUACAGUAAAAAUAUGUGCCUUGUAAAUAUAAUAAACUCAUUUCAUUCUCACCCCAUCUCUGUGCAGAAGGUUCAUUUACUAAGCCCAUUUUGCAGAUAAGAAAAUGGAGUCUCAGGGAAUAGAACCUAAUUCUCCAGAGUCUCUUUGCUAUACAUUUGCAAAGCUAAAAUGCAAAUAUAAUUCCAUGGAAAUCCAAAACUCAUUCUCUUUCCACCAUACCUCACCACUAACCACAUUUACUAUUUCACCAAGGCUCCAUCCACAGCAGGUCCCAUGGGAACUCUGGCCAACUCCGACCACAGCCUGCUGAACAGAUGUCAGCCUCCUCCACCCUCUGCUUCAUCACUCCUCGAAUGGCCUGGCCCCUUUCUGGGCUCCCCAAGCUCUAUACUCCCAUGUCACUUGCUCAGCAACCCAUGUUUUACAGCCCUCUUGAUGAAGAGCAAAUCUGUAUUAAUUUCAGAAUGACUCAAGCUUUAAAUUAAUGGUCAUGAUUGGCUUGGCCAUCCUGAGAGGAUAUGCUGUUGACUGGCCCAGGCAUAUAAAUCUAAUGACAGCCUCAGGAAACUCAUUGACAGAGCAAUGUAAUUCCUUUGGAAUUAAGUGUGAGAACUUCCCCUGAACCAUUUCUGUUAUGAAUUAUAGUGAUGAUGGUGAUAGCUAUACAAUAAUAGGUAAUAUUUAUUAGCCACUUCCCAUGCAUUGUAUCAUCUUACAUCUUUACAGGAGCCCCAUCCCAUGCUAUCUUAGCUCAGACUGCUACAACAAACUACCAUAGCCUGGGUGGCUUAAACAGCAGACAUUUGGCCGGGCAUGUUGGCUCAUGCCUGUAAUCACAGCACUUUGGGGGGCGA